CAAAGGAAGAUUGAAAAUUCAAAGUUAAUAAGGUGGAAAAGAUCAAUACAUCCAUGUGAAUUCAAGAGUUAUUUCAAUUAUCAUUACAACUUCAAAAAGUUACAUUCCAUGCUUCACAUGAUUCAUCAAGAUACAAUUACACCACAAGGUGAAUUCAAGAUUACAAGCUUUACAAGGAUUAUAAGGUUGAACCAAAUCGGUUACCAUUCAUUAACCGUCAAAAACUUGCAAUACAUUAAAGAUUAUUUCAUCCCGGAUGUUCAAAUGCUUACACAAUUGAAGGAUAAAAUUCAUUAA